rnacentral:rRNA from 1 species
CCUACGGGAGGCAGCAGUGGGGAAUCUUGCGCAAUGGGCGAAAGCCUGACGCAGCCAUGCCGCGUGAAUGAUGAAGGUCUUAGGAUUGUAAAAUUCUUUCACCGGGGACGAUAAUGACGGUACCCGGAGAAGAAGCCCCGGCUAACUUCGUGCCAGCAGCCGCGGUAAUACGAAGGGGGCUAGCGUUGCUCGGAAUUACUGGGCGUAAAGGGAGCGUAGGCGGAUAGUUUAGUCAGAGGUGAAAGCCCAGGGCUCAACCUUGGAAUUGCCUUUGAUACUGGCUAUCUUGAGUGUGGGAGAGGUAUGUGGAACUCCGAGUGUAGAGGUGAAAUUCGUAGAUAUUCGGAAGAACACCAGUGGCGAAGGCGACAUACUGGCCCAUUACUGACGCUGAGGCUCGAAAGCGUGGGGAGCAAACAGGAUUAGAUACCCUGGUAGUCCACGCUGUAAACGAUGAGUGCUAGUUGUCGGCAUGCAUNCAUGUCGGUGACGCAGCUAACGACAUUAAGACACUCCGCCGUCGGGAGGUACGGUCGCGAAGAAUUAAAACUAACGAAAGAAAGUUAGACGGCGUGAGACGUAGCCGAACGGACGACGACGACGGGAGGAGG